rnacentral:rRNA from 1 species
AUUGAACGCUGGCGGCAUGCUUUACACAUGCAAGUCGAACGGUAACAGGCCGCAAGGUGCUGACGAGUGGCGAACGGGUGAGUAAUGCAUCGGAACGUGCCCAGUCGUGGGGGAUAACGCAGCGAAAGCUGCGCUAAUACCGCAUACGAGCUAUGGAUGAAAGCGGGGGACCGUAAGGCCUCGCGCGAUUGGAGCGGCCGAUGUCAGAUUAGCUAGUUGGUGGGGUAAAGGCCCACCAAGGCGACGAUCUGUAGCUGGUCUGAGAGGACGACCAGCCACACUGGGACUGAGACACGGCCCAGACUCCUACGGGAGGCAGCAGUGGGGAAUUUUGGACAAUGGGCGCAAGCCUGAUCCAGCAAUGCCGCGUGCAGGAAGAAGGCCUUCGGGUUGUAAACUGCUUUUGUACGGAACGAAACGGUCUGGGUUAAUACCUCGGGCUAAUGACGGUACCGUAAGAAUAAGCACCGGCUAACUACGUGCCAGCAGCCGCCGUAAAAC